GUGCCAGCAGCCGCGGUAAGACGUAGGGGGCGAGCGUUGUCCGGAUUUAUUGGGCGUAAAGCGCGCGUAGGCGGUUCGUUAAGUCGGAUGUGAAAAUCCGGGGCUCAACCCCGGACCUGCAUCCGAUACUGGCGGACUGGAGGCAGGCAGGGGAGAUCGGAAUUCCUGGUGUAGCGGUGAAAUGCGCAGAUAUCAGGAGGAACACCGGUGGCGAAGGCGGAUCUCUGGGCCUGUCCUGACGCUCAGGCGCGAAAGCUAGGGGAGCAAACAGGAUUAGAUACCCUGGUAGUCC
rnacentral:rRNA from 1 species